UGGGGAAUAUUCGCACAAUGGGCGAAAGCCUGAUCCAGCAAUGCCGCGUGAGUGAUGAAGGCCUUAGGGUUGUAAAGCUCUUUUACCCGGGAUGAUAAUGACAGUACCGGGAGAAUAAGCCCCGGCUAACUCCGUGCCAGCAGCCGCGGUAAUUA
rnacentral:rRNA from 1 species